rnacentral:hammerhead_ribozyme from 1 species
AUCCAGCUGACGAGUCCAAAAUAGGAAGAAACGCGCAUCCGGGAU